GUUGAUUAUGGCUCAAUCGGUAGCGCACUCGCCUAGCAUGCGUGGGGUGCUGGGUUUGACCCUCAGCACCACA
rnacentral:tRNA from 1 species